GUAGACAAGCCGCGAUUCGAAAUGAGAGAUAUAGAUAUCCAGCAACAGGCCAUGCAUGAAAAUCGCCUGCUUCAUGUGACAGUUGCUCGAUGUAUGCUGAGACAAGCAAAGCAAUGGCGCCGAGAAGGAGUAGAAGUGCGGGAAUUAACAAAGUCAACCGUGCUGCUGAGUGGGCGAAUUUCGUGAGUAUUAUAUUUGUGUACUGCCUGCAUAUUACUAGGUAUGUUUUAUGCAUAUGUAAAACAUGCGUAUGUAUUUCAGCGCCAUCGUCUCCGCUUGUACCGGGCUUCUACGCCUAUCUCAGAUCUCAACCGCGACGAGCGAGAGGACGGCGAGAUCGUAGACGACCGGACGUUCAACGUAUCGAUCCCUCGAUCUCCCCGAUCACCUUCUUUGCUACGUAGUGCCACUUCCCCGCCACGUCCGCGCCAGAACCAUUGGGUGGCGCCGUAUGAUCGUCGCCGAGAUCACGAGAGAGUCCGCAAUCCACCAGUGCGAAGAAGACGAGACCUCGAUAGUUUUAGCGAUGUUGGCUCUGGAGACGAGUAUCAGCAUGAUUACUCGCUGGCAUUACCAUCACCGCCUCGAGCGUCUCCUGGGCCAUCAGUUUCUCCCUCGCCUGUACGUGGAAAUCCACGCUUCCUUGAUCGAGAUCAUCGGGGUCGCGGGAGGGUCUAUCGCGGCCGUGGCUCUCGAUCGGCAACACGAGGGCAAAACCACUCGAACGAUGCUCAUCGUGGUCGUGAACGAGCCCGGGAUUACAACCCACAUCGGGGCCGUGGUCCGGUUUUGAGUCGUAGUCGGAGUGUUGCAAGCCGAGGGAGUGAAAAUCAAGGUGCUGGCGCUCCUGCCAUGAUUUUUAACGCGCCAUGUACUUUUUAUAUUCAACAAUAAAAAAGAAUAAAUCUAUAUAAAAAAUCUAUAUUGACUAUUUUUUAUUUUGUUCCAAAUUAAAUUUAUAUAACUAAACUUUAUUAUAAAAUAGAUUAUUACUUAUUUUCUGUUUCGAGGUUAAAGAAUAUACAUAACUCUACUUAUUCCUUACAAAAUUAUUAUUAUUUAUUACUUUUUACUUGUAAAAAGGUAGAGGGUUCAGUAGUAUAUAGUUUCGCAAUAUACGUCCCUGCUUUCCAAUUCAAGCGCCAUCUAACGAAAAUCGGAACACUAAUUAUUCCCUGUUUUACCGAUAAUUACAGCAUGUAUAUAUGACAUGUGUAUUUGUAUGACAAAUUAAUACACUCUUAAAAAAGUUUAAGAAUCCCAAUUUAGAACAUUUAUUAGUUGAAGCAGGCGGAAAUCGAAUAAUUUUGGCAGGAGAUACCCGUUGGUGUAGUUACAGAGAUGUGUUUCGUCGAGCUUUACGAAAUGCUCCUUUUAUGCGCGAGCGCAAGGAAUAUUUCGGCCGUCCCCACUCUUCUCACCUCCUACGAAACCAACAGCUACGCAGUAGUCAACGCAGCGACGGCAGGCCAUCGACGCGCAUGUGUGCGUGCGCGUCCCCCUUCUCUCUCCACCUACCAAGCCAGCAUUAGCAGCAGCGCGUUGCGUAACAGUAUUUAUAUGUAUAUGUGCGCGUAAGCGAGCGACGGCGAGUCGUGCGCAUCCGAGUAUGUUUGUAUAAAUGAUAAAUGUAAAUAUGAAUGAAUGAUAGUAUGAUUGUGUGAAUGUGCGAAUAUUUUCGGCGGCUCGAUCAGCGCUCGCUUAGCGCCCUAUAAAAGGCCAUGCGAGGCCUGUGUUCAAUCACUAGUAGCAGCACAAUUAAGCGGUCUAGUCUACUCUGGCUGCACUUUUAAGCGCCUUAGUACAUAUACAGAAAUCUACUGCAAAAUUAAGCGUAGAAUUUAAUAAUUAUAAAUUUCGAGAAGCACUUUUAAGCGCUCUAACACAUACUCUACUGCAAAAUUAAGCGUAGAAUUUAAUAAUAUUUAAUAAUCGCAUAACAGAAGUCUUCAUAAAAAAAUAAACAAAAAUUGUAACUAAAUCUGAUUUAAAAAGAAUAAUAGCAAUAAUAGGCAUUAUUCUUAUGUUAAAUUAUUUUUGUUAAUAUACACACUAUUUUAAAUAUAAA